rnacentral:rRNA from 1 species
UGCGUUNUGAACUGGGUGACUAGAGUGUGUCAGAGGGAGGUAGAAUUCCACGUGUAGCAGUGAAANGCGUAGAGAUGUGGAGGAAUACCGAUGGCGAAGGCAGCNUCCUGGGAUAACACUGACGUUCAUGCCCGAAAGCGUGGGUAGCAAACAGGAUUAGAUACCCUGGUAGUCCACGCCCUAAACGAUGUCGAUUAGCUGUUGGGCAGCAUGACUGCUUAGUAGCGAAGCUAACGCGUGAAAUCGACCGCCUGGGGAGUACGGUCGCAAGAUUAAAACUCAAAGGAAUUGACGGGGACCCGCACAAGCGGUGGAUGAUGUGGAUUAAUUCGAUGCAACGCGAAGAACCUUACCUGGUCUUGACAUGUACGGAACCCUCCAGAGACGGAGGGGUGCCUUCGGGAGCCGUAACACAGGUGCUGCAUGGCUGUCGUCAGCUCGUGUCGUGAGAUGUUGGGUUAAGUCCCGCAACGAGCGCAACCCUUGUCAUUAGUUGCCAUCAUUAAGUUGGGCACUCUAAUGAGACUGCCGGUGACAAGCCGGAGGAAGGUGGGGAUGACGUCAAGUCCUCAUGGCCCUUAUGACCAGGGCUUCACACGUCAUACAAUGGUCGGUACAGAGGGUAGCCAAGCCGCGAGGUGGAGCCAAUCUCACAAAACCGAUNGUAGUCCGGAUUGCACUCUGCAACUCGAGUGCAUGAAGUCGGAAUC